GAGGAACUUGGGGGAAGAAUCAGAGAGGUGGGAUUGACCAGCCAGACACAGAGGAAGUGGUAUGUACAGCACUGAGAAGAGGAAGAGAAAACUCAUUCAAGACGCCCUUUCUCAGCCAUCUAAGCUUAAGGUUUCUCCCAUUCCUGGAGAGAAGAAGUACCAUGUAUUGAAUUUAGGACCUCACAUGUGCUAGGCACACAACACUGAGCUACAUUCCAGCCCGAAAUUCUACCCGCAAAUCCUGUGCAGUUCAAUUCAAGCCUGGACCUGUUCCCAUGAGAUGACCACACGUUCAGCUUUGCAACCCAGGCUGACCUGAACUCGACAUACGGCCUAGGCUGCUUCAGACUCACCACAGCCCUCCCAGCUCAGCCUCCUGACUGCUAUUACAGAACCCACCUUCACACUCUGUCCAUCUGUCCAGAAGAGUAUCUACCUGAACAAGAGCGAAUGGCACUAACCUUUUUUCCUUCUUGGCCCUUCAUGCCAUGGACCGCCCACGCCAGUUUAUACUAUUAUGGCCAUCAUCCCCUAUAACUUUUAUUAAAUAUAUAUUAUGUGUGAAA